UACGAGUGCCCCGAGCGUUAUCCGGAAUCAUUGGGCGUAAAGGGUGUGUAGGUGGCAGUGUUAGUCGUCUGCUAAAGCCUGGGGCUCAACCCCAGUUCUGCGGUCGAAACGGCACAGCUAGAGGAUGGCAGGGAUGUAUGGAACUCAUGGAGAGGGGUGAAAUCCGUUGAUAUCAUGGGGAACACCGAAAGCGAAGGCAGUACAUUGGGCCACUCCGUGACACUGAAACACGAAAGCGUGGGUAGCGA
rnacentral:rRNA from 1 species